UCACAAUAAUCAGAGUACUUAUUACAUAGUGGAAGACUUACAAAAAAUAAAAGAUAAAUAUAACAGGAUCUAAAAUCUAUCCUUGGUGCCAGAAAGUCAACUGGGAGACGCCACCUAGAUCGAAUCGAGCUCCUCAUUAAGCGGCUCCUCUUGAACCACUUGUACUUCUCCUGUGGGGGUGUGAGACAGCAAGGGUGAGCUCACACAAGUUCAUCGCUCAACAAGUUGUGGGGAAUAAUGUGUAUGAACUCAUCAAAGGUGGGAGUUCAUGUGAAGUGUAAGGCUGAUCAACAGAAUAAAGGUUGGAGCUGAGCAUUGCUUUUAUAAGUUGGUCAAAGUUUUAUUAGCAGUUACUAAGUGUAAGUAAAUACCAAACCAUAAUAAAUAAUAGAACAAAAUUAAUAAAUAAUCCCAUGCAAAUGCAUACGACAAAUUGAAUUUAGGUUCCAUAAAUUAAUCAUGUGAGGGUCCAAACUGCUCAUGACCGUGAGCACGGCUAGUAUACCAGUUUUACACUGUGCAGAUGUUGCACAUCUUUACCCACAAGCCAUGUUACCCAUCUGCCAAGGGGUCAUGAAUCCCAUACACCUCUACCAAGGAGGCGAGGCAGGGUAACACUACGAGGCAUUUAUAAAGUUCCACUAGCUUCAGAAAACCUGCUACAGUUUAUAGGAAGCUCCAGUGCAGGAAUCCCUCGUCUAACCGCCAUCGCAUCAAAAUCAACCCAAGGACCUCCCUAGACUGACCACUCCCCUACUGCCCUUGCCUCUUUCGGGUAAGGUAGUCAUCCACUAGCUUUCCUAAUUAAUCAGCCAAGGGCGUCCCAUUAAACCCUUGUGGUAGCACUGUUUUCCCGGGUGGUCGCUCCAUGUUCCCAUUAACAUAAUGAUCUUAUCAUGAACAUAAAUAACCUAACAGAAUAAUAGGAAUAUGGAUAUCAUUAAAUAUUAACCCGAAACCAUAUAAAACAAUAGCAUAGCUACCCAAUUGAUUCCGGGAUAAACAAGGUAAAAAGGAUAACCAGUCUAGGGUGACAUAUUGGGUCCCAUCAAAAUCAAAAUUAAACCUAUGCAUGAAUAAGUGAUAAUAAAUAACAUUAUUGGGUAACAAAAGUGGAUUAAGGGCACAACUUGCCUGACACUUUAGAUUCCAGUUACCAGGGCGAUUCUUCAGAUCCUCGCGACCUCGCGCUAGUCGUAGCACUACAAGCAAACAUGGUAUAGACAAACUUAACAUCACACCAACCAUAAGUACAAACUGAAUAAUAAUACUCUGCACGUUGCUAGGAGAUCGUGGGAUGAGAACCACUAAAAUCGGAGUUACGGUCAAGGAGUUAUGAAUUUCCGAACGUUUUAUGUGUUUAGUACGAAAAUAAUUAAAUGGUCAAGUUUAAUAUAGUUUUAAUGCUAAAACAGAGUCAUUAAGUAAUAAACAAUAUUAAACCAAAAUUAUAGAAAUUGGAACAGGUCAAAAAUGAGUUAAAAUGAAUUUUUUAUGAUUUAAACAAGAUCCUGAAAUUAAUUUUAUAUUAAAAAUCAUUUUCUAUCUCAAUUUCUCUGAUUUUUUCAGUGUCUGGACUGCGCGCGCUAAAAUAGAUAACCUCGGGAUUUAAUAUGCAAAUGUUCCCAAGACUCAGGACCUACCCGCGGAGGACUGCGGGUUUAAUCCGUUAAAAGCUGAGAGCUCUUUUGCACUAUUUCCAGGCCGAAGGGGUAAGGAGAGAUUCGGGCCGUCCGAUCAGGAAUCUAGGGCUCAAGUUAGAUCGACGCAGUACGCGAACCGGUAUUGAAUCCUGGCUGACGGAUCGCCAUCCAACGAUCCACAUUUUAAAUAUCAGAGGUCCCCGCGAUCCAUUCGAUCGACAUCGAACGGACGCGGGCGAAACGCUACCCAGAUCUAAUCCUACGCGAUCAGCCGCCAUCCGACGGUCCCUGAAAACUCCACAAAGGGUACACGGUUUCCUAAUCUAGAGCGUAAUACGGGAGAUCAACGGCUCCUGUCCGUCUUCUUCCCCACGCGACGGCAGUGAACAGUGGCGUUGCCAGCUGCCACGGCGAAGGACGCCGACGAUGGGCCACCCAGUCAUUCCAACGGCCAAACCCCACAUAAAAUAGUGCUAAACAAUGAGGGGUCAACGGCGAACGCGCGGGGAGAGUUCUCAUAUGUGAUGGCGCCCAACAGAGUUCUAUCGACGAGGAAGCACGGCCACGGCGAAAUUUCCAGCCCCGGCGAUCGAUUCGCACCGGCACAGCGCCAAUCCCCGACCCGGGAUACAGCGGACACUUUCCACUACCACCAGCGUUUCACCAAUUCGCGUUUCUGGCGGCCGAACGACGGUGGGGAAGCUCCUGCCUGGUGGAGAAUCGGCCGCGCUCGCACGGCACUCUCACAGCGCGCAACAGCGAACGCCGCCCCCCCGGUAGCCAUGCACACACCCAGCGGCCCCCAGAGAACGAUUCCGCACGGGACGCAGUGGCAGCACCGCUUCCUCCCUCCCAUCCGCUUGCUGGGUGCCCGCAAAGGUGAGAAGCGCCAUUGGCGGUAUUGGAGAUCCACGGCGGAUCGACGACGCGCCCAGAGCAGUGGACGAGUACGGCAGGGACGCGCAAGGGCAAGGGUAGGGCGACGUGGCCCGGUCUUAU
rnacentral:lncRNA from 1 species